GAUGAACGCUGGCGGCGUGCCUAAUACAUGCAAGUCGAACGGAAAGGCCUCUUCGGAGGUACUCGAGUGGCGGACGGCUGAGUAACGCGUAGGAACGUACCCCAAACUGAGGGAUAACUGCUCGAAAGAGUAGCUAAUACCGCAUGUGCCCUACGGAGUAAAGCUUCGGCGGGUUGGGAACGGCCUGCGUAAGAUUAGCUAGUUGGUGAGGUAAUGGCUCACCAAGGCGACGAUCUUUAGCUGGUCUGAGAGGAUGAUCAGCCAGACUGGGACUGAGACACGGCCCAGACUCCUACGGGAGGCAGCAGUAGGGAAUUUUCCACAAUGGACGAAAGUCUGAUGGAGCAACGCCGCGUGCAGGAUGAAUGCCUUCGGGUUGUAAACUGCUUUUAUAUGUGAAGAUUAUGACGGUAGCAUAUGAAUAAGGAUCGGCUAACUCCGUGCCAGCCGCCGCCGUAAAAC
rnacentral:rRNA from 1 species